rnacentral:rRNA from 1 species
AAUAGAUACCCUGGUAGUCCACGCCGUAAACGAUGAGUGCUAAGUGUUAGGGGGUUUCCGCCCCUUAGUGCUGCAGCUAACGCAUUAAGCACUCCGCCUGGGGAGUACGGUCGCAAGACUGAAACUCAAAGGAAUUGACGGGGGCCCGCACAAGCGGUGGAGCAUGUGGUUUAAUUCGAAGCAACGCGAAGAACCUUACCAGGUCUUGACACCCCAUUGACCACUAUGGAGACAUAGUUUUCCCUUCGGGGACAACGGUGACAGGUGGUGCAUGGUUGUCGUCAGCUCGUGUCGUGAGAUGUUGGGUUAAGUCCCGCAACGAGCGCAACCCUUGUUCUUAGUUGCCAUCAUUUAGUUGGGCACUCUAAGGAGACUGCCGGUGACAAACCGGAGGAAGGUGGGGAUGACGUCAAAUCAUCAUGCCCCUUAUGACCUGGGCUACACACGUGCUACAAUGGACGGUACAAACGGUUGCCAACCCGCGAGGGGAGCUAAUCCGAUAAAACCGUUCUCAGUUCGGAUUGUAGGCUGCAACUCGCCUACAUGAAGCC